CCUGGCUCAGAUUGAACGCUGGCGGCAUGCCUAACACAUGCAAGUCGAACGGCAGCAUAGUCUAGUUUACUAGAUGGGUGGCGAGUGGCGAACGGGUGAGUAACGCGUAGGAAUAUGCCUUAAAGAGGGGGACAACUUGGGGAAACUCAAGCUAAUACCGCAUAAUCUCUACGGAGAAAAGCUAGGGACCUUCGGGCCUGGCGCUUUAAGAUUAGCCU
rnacentral:rRNA from 1 species